rfam:Schistosoma margrebowiei strain Zambia genome assembly, scaffold: SMRZ_scaffold0000390
AUCCGGCUGACGAGUCCAAAUCAGGAUGAAACGCGCGUUUUGGAU